UAUUCUUUUCUUCCAGGUACUACUUAACAUUAAACUUUUCUAGGUAACCCAGAUGUCAGUCGUGUAUCUUUCCUGCCUCUCCUUGAGCCUCAGGCUGGGGAUGUGUAUGUUGUUGCAAUACCAUACAGAAGAGGAGAGAUAAGAAGAAUGGAUUGUUAUGACUGGUAUGUGACAGGACACAAGAAGGGUAAAUAUAGACGCACCUAUGGUUAUAUUCGAGAAGACGAUGGAAAUACAAGUCAUCGUCUGCUGCGAUAUACAUAUGAUUAUGCCUGGGAGAGUACCCCAAGCCUGAGGGUAAUUCACUACAUUCAGGGUGACCCAAGGCAUCAAGUUCAGUGUGUUGGGAAGAAGCCAAACUAUGAGGAGGAACCUGAGGGACAAGG